UUAGUCAUAUCGAAAAAUGAAUAUAUAUUUGAACUACCACGAAAAUAGCAAAAGAAAGACUCGUAUUUCAAACCAAAGACUAAAAAUCGGGCAAAGCUGAGAAAGACUGAACGUAAAACGAAGUGUCUUAAAUUAGGAGACAAGUGUUACGAAAAUAUUAUAGAACGUGGAAGGAAUUUUUCCUCUAACUUUCAACGAAUUGUUGCUCCGACUUCUCAAGCAAUUGUGGGAAAAAUCGAUCGAGUUUCCCUCAAAAGGAAGUACAUAUAACACGUAUUACGAAAAAAUUCGUGUCGGCACGGUUUCGUCGAACGCAGCCGGUUGAUUUAAGAUUCUUUGGGCGCGAGCAACGCGACCAUAUAAGGCGAGUUCUUAAACGGCGAACAACAGUCGCCCAAUCGGCGUCCCACGAGAGUCACGCGGCUGCAUCGAACGCGGAGGAAUUAAUUAUCCAGGCAUUCUUGUCGCUGCUAACGUUGCAAUAAACAUUAGUCGCGAGAAAAUAAUUUCAAAAAUAUCUUUAGUGCUGACGCUGCUCCCGAUUCUCGGACUUAAGGUCUUCCAGACAAAGAUGACCCUUAUACGUAAAAUUCGUUUUUCUUAAUUCUAUUCUCCAGCCAAAGGAUCAAAGAAAUGUAGCAAUAUGUUACGUAUUUCUUUUAUAGUGCCUUUUAUUCAAAACACCCGAUACAUUUUAUUACAGUUAUUUACUUGUAGCGAGUCGUAACUGUGUCCAAUAUCGAACACUGCGAAAUCUCGGCAAGUAAAUAACAAAAUCGAUCAAUAGCGUAGAAUAUUUCGUUAGAAGAGACAAACAUAUCCAUAUUUGAGCUUCACUUGGGUAGCUUUCGUCGAAUACAAUCGAUCGUUGUACGUUAAAGCGUAUGAAAUCGUCGGAGGAGGCUAAUUAAAUAACGAAAUUUUUUAACGAGGGCAAGUUAAUAAAUAUCUGUAUUAGUUUUGCAUGAUUUAUUAUUAAAUAUGUUUGCUUUCAGUGUUUAAAAGAAAUUCACUGUUACGUUUGUCUCCUUAGUGUAAUUAUUAUUUUUCUGUUGAGAUACGACGUAUAAUGUGCUGAGUGUAUAUGAUGUAGAAAAUUUUAACGAUGCUGCUACUCACGAUGACGAUGACGAUAUAAAAAUUUAUAUUCAUUUUCCGGUGGCAAUUACAAAAGAGACAAUAAUGAACAAUGUGUCCAAUGUAGCUCGUUGUUUCCAUUGAUAUUACAGAGGAUGUGCUUCAGGUGCGCCAUUCGCGUGUUCAACGUAUACAAGACAAAGAGAAUUAAUGAUGUAAGAGAUGGAAGAAAAUUGUCUUGGAACGUAACAACUAACCAAUAACCAAAGACAGUGACAGCUUGCAGUGCAAAAUGCAGGUAAGGAUCAACGUAAUGCCAAACUAAUUAACUCGGAUUUAGCGGAUGACUCAAGAGUAACGCGGAUAAUAAUUGUCGACACGAUCACGGCUGAAAGGUACACGAACGAUUACUCGUCAAAAAAAAAAAAGAAAGAAAGAAAGAAAGAAAAAAGAAGUCGAUAAAUUUCUCCCUGUGGAACGCGAAGGUUCUUCCAAACUGUUAAGCAGCUUUCCCCCUCGGGUAGAUUUUCUUACGGGCUUAAAACUGAGCUUACUUUCCGGAGAAAGUCCAAGUACAAUAUUGACUCUGGUGUAUCGGCGUUCAGGAUGCAGCAUCGAAAUUAGCUUCGCGGCCGCGUUUUAUCUCCUCCUACUUUCCUCUUUUUCUUCCCUUCCCCUCUAACUCCAACCUUUUCUGUUUCCUUCGUCCACCAUUUGAUAUACCUUUUAAUUUCUUUUUAAAGCUCGGCCGAACAUGUGUAUUCCUCUCGUAUUCUUCGCUAAAUCCAAGAGAAACCAAAAUUAUAUUAUCUACGAUUCCUUUCGAAAGUUCCAACAAAACCCUGAAAAAUUCGUCCAAAAAGAAAAUAACAAGAAAAGAAAACGAUACUAUCUAACUAUGUUUAAUGACUGUGAAAAAUUCCAAUCGUUUCACCUUGCACCAAACCUCCUGGUCCCAUAAAAGACGCCGAUAUUUGGCGAAAAAAUAUCCAGAGAACAGCAAGAUCGCAUAUAUCAAAGUAUCUAACACUAUCCGCGUUCAUUCACCAUAAACGUUCCCAGAAGGAACAAAUUAUUUUCCCCAGAGGGUAUCCCGGUAAUUUGCAAAAAUUCCCAACUGCCCACAUUCGCGACUUCAUCCGCAGAACUACCCCCAUUUCUCUCUCUCUCUGUCUCCUCUCUUUGUCGUUUGCGCGUGUACGCGCGCGCGCGCAUGGUAAUGAAAUAUCGCGGUACAUUAACGCGCUGCAGUGUGUCGUUGAUUUGCAUAAAGCGGGAACAGACCUGGUUCUCUGCAGAAUGAUUUAAUUUGGGUAUCAAGGCUGGAUGCGGGAACAAACGCUUUGUUAGACUCGCGAGCGCGAGCAACCCUUUUACCCCUUUCCCCAGCGCGCGUUCCCUCUUUCUGCUGCUUCGCGAAUCGUAUUUCCCAAGUUUGUAAUUUGUCGCCCAGCUUCCUCCUCCUGCAACUGCUAACGUCGCCCACCCUUCCUUUUCCUUCCUACUAUCUCGUAUCUUGCACUUAAUUACGGGCAUUAGUAACUGUAUCCACCCCACACCCCCGCUCACCCUCCGCCUUUUAGUUGGCCGUUCAUUAACCAGCGAGUUAACGAAAUACCCGCGUUACUUCCGGCUCAAUGGCCACCGUCCCUUUGGAAUUUUAAGUCGCAGGUCGAUUGUUAAGUUUGACGCGAACGAGCGAUGCUGCAUGUGCCCUUCUCGCGCUUCGCAAUGCAAAUUAUUUUCGUUCGGGAAAUACGUGUACCUGUACUCUAGGAAAUAGAUACGUUGCAGAGUAUCUGUGAUAGAAAUAUACGUGAAAUAGAUGCGGUAGGUUGUCCCAAAGUUUCUUUCCUUUUGUAUUAUUUUAUUGAAUUAUCAUGCGUGAUCAUUUUAUUACGAAGAUAUAGAUAGGGGGAAAUAAUACGAAACAACAAAUGUUGUGCGUUUAAUAUUUGCUUAUGAGAAAAGGAAACAAACUUUUGGGACAACGUAAUAUGAAACAGUGAGGACAUUUUGAGCCACGUGUUGAGUAUUAUGCGAUAGUACAGUGUAUCGUCAGUUUUGUUAAAUGUUGCGACUGUUACAUUGUUCCAUGGAUAUCCUUUCGAUCUUUUUGCAGCCUCGGCACUGACUGUGAGAAUUAGGUAAACGCGUGAACCGAUGGAGAAAUUACUCGCAACUCGAGCUCUUUAACAUUUACCUUGCGAAUAUAUCGUUUAGAUCGAUACUCUCAAUUGAAAAUAGAGUGGAAUGUUUAACGUUUAACAUAAUUUGGAAUAAUUAAGGUUUUGCUUAAUUUCUUACGAACUGUUCAUUUGUAUAACGUUGAAUGAAAUUCUGUUUGAAUGGCAGGCUUUUCUAAGUAAUUUUCCAAGUAUUAGGUUGUCCGGAAAGUUUCUUUCGUUUUAUGAGGAAAUUUUAUAUUAAUUUAUUGAAUCAUGCACGAACGUGAUAAUAAAACAAUUAUAUAAAAUAACAGAAGAUAGUAAUAGAAAUAUAACGAAAUGGGCCAUACCUAAUUCAAUAAAAUAAUGCAAAACAGAAAUCGUUGUUCAUCAACAGAUCGUCUUAUAAAACGAAAGAAACUUUUCGGACAACCUAAUACGAUGCACAAUGGCUGGAUCAGCGUGAUCUUUCAAGUGUAUCUCUAAAAAUUAGAUUCUACAGAGAUUCACGUUCUACACAUAUCGCGAUAUCAGUUUUGCUACGAUACGAGUACGAUUUAUGGUUGCGAUAUUUCACCAAAAAUAGAACCUACAAUUAAUUCUACAUUAUUUCUUAACACUUAAAUCGAAUAAAAAAUGUAUCAGGUUAAAAUUGUUCAAAAUAUUCUUAAUAAACGAUCAGGAACAACUGUCAACAAAAAGUCAAAAGGCCUUCGAAAAUCUCAUUUCAAUGACUUGGAAAUGUCCUACCAUUCCUAAUCCUAGUUUGAGGACCAUGGAAAUUUGUAACGCGACACGAAGUUUCGUUAGCUUUUUCUAAAUAAAAACAAAGUUAAUGUAUUUAAAGAGAACAAGGUUCCUCGCAUGGCUUUCUUUUUACGACUGUCUGCAACCGCGAUUUUGCCUACGAAAGAAACAUACUACAAUUUGUCAUAAGUUUAGACUCAACAGUUUCCAACGAACAAUCGAAGGUUGCAAUUCGAUCAGAACGCAAUUAGCUGGUCAUUAAUUGGCAAAAUUUUAAUCAAGUUUCUUAUACUGUGCAAGUUUCUAUCAAGGGCACUUAUAUGAAUUAUAACAUAAUUUUCAUGGAAUGAUAGUGGCAAUGAAUGCGUUUAAUUGAAAUCUCUACAUCGCAAUAAUUAACUUGAUAAGGCAGGAAUUUCAUAAUUACUCAGAUAUAAACUCUCUGUACCUAUAUAUAUAUAUAUAUAUAUAGCUACAUAUUUAUCUGCAUUGUAAUAUUUCUACAAUUAUUAUAAUUGUUCACAGUUUGGAACACGGUUCAGGUGAAAUCCAAUAAUUGCUACAAAACGUCUAAGCUACUUUAGACAGGUAGAAUGCAGUCGUAAUAUUAACAGAGACUGAAUUGUUAUACACCUGAGCAACUUCUAAUAAAGAUAAUUAUCCAGAAAUUGAUGGAAUAUUUCUACGGUAGAUAGAAUUGCUGUAAAAUAAACGAGCCGUUCCGAGCGCUCUGCAACCGCAUUUUACAAUUGAUUGGUCGCUUGAAACACGUAGAAUUAUUGCAAAAUCAAUGCUCCAUUUCCUGUCUUUAUCGAACGAGUCAAAUUUUGCAUUCCACUUGCGGGUAUUCGGUGUUAAAUGAAAUUAAUUUUACGGCGAGAUUUUUUAUUUUAGUCGUGUAAUUGUUUCGUUCUAUGGAUACUUUUGUUGUUAGUUAUAUGGAGGAAUAUUCGCAAGCAGAAGGAUCAUCGUAUCGGUGCAUUUGAUUUUUGUGGGAUUCUUGUGAAAUUAAUUUUCAUAGACAUUUGGUAGAAUUUUAAAACGUCAAUCAGAAACUUAGGAAGAAGAAAUAGUACGAUUGAUAAUGUAGGAAGGUUGAGAUUCUUUUUGGAAAAUACGUAGUUUCCACUGAAAAUGAAGAUUAACUUUUAAACAGCAGACGUAAAGUAAAUAUCGAAUUAGAAUUAUUAUUCAAUUAUAUAAAAUUAUUAGUGGAACAUAAUAGAGUUAUUGGAAUUCAUUUUUCGGUUUCCAUCCCCAAUUUAAAUAUCCAUAUCGUCAAAAUCACCCUUGCAGACAAUUACCCUAACUAUAUAGACACCAUAACUUUAUUCUCUCAUAAACAUAGUUACCAUUAUAUAUGAUUAACAAUUUUCUUCGUUAUUUAAUUUUUACAAUCAACACUGAUUAUAUGUAAUCGAAAAGAAUAUAAUGAAAAUUUAUUCAUGUAAAAAAAAAAAUUCUGUCGAUGUACCAACAAUAUAAAUAUAUUCACCCCACGAGAAAAAUACGAACAAACUUUGAAAUUUACAUUUACAUUUUCAAGCCUGAAUAUUUAUCAACAAACUUACCCUCGUUGGCCAUAACGCAGCCAAAUUUUUGUGUGGUGGGAAAACAUCGCCACGAGGGUAAAACGAAACAGGGACGUAACACUGAAUCGUGGGCCCAUGGAUAUCGAUCCGUAAAUAGUUGGCAUAUUUUGGUUCUUGGCCAACGCCUAACGAUUUGUCCAUAGCUACGACAGGUCUUGGAAACGAACCUAUCGAUUUCUCGAUUCAGUAGAGCGUGUCGCCGACUUUGCUUGCGAUUUCCGAAUCCUUGUAUGACUCUAUCCUCUUUCUCCGACUUGAAAUUAUUUUUAAUCCAAACGUUACCAAAGCAUCGUUAGAAAAUCUGCUUUCCCUCAAUAUCUCAAUAAUCUUCAAUUACGAUUACUUAAUUAGACAAUUGGCAAAGUUCAAAUUUAAAUGUUUAUCGCGCGGUAAAAUUACCACGAUUUCACGGCAGCGUACAGACAGUGGCUGUAACAGCUAUUUGCGCACGCCAUUGUAUUUAUUAUUCCGGUUAUAUAGUAAUUAAGUAGUUUCAAUUCGUUCCAUAAAUGAACUCGCAGCUUGUGUGAUUCGAAAACGUAUCCGCAGUGUAAAGAGCAGACCACGAUAACCAGGAUGAGAUCAACGUACUCACGCGUACGUACGUUGUACAUAAUGGAAAAUAUUCCUGUUAAAUGCGACGCGUGCCAUGCGAGACUAUCGAUCAGCCGUAUAGUCAUGGGAUGUCCUCUGUACAACGAAGAAGGGAAAAAGCGUAGCGUGGACAAUAAUCUCAAGGAUGUUCUCACACAUCGAUCCCGUGCCAGCAAGAGGUUAUCGACUUGUGUAAAGAAACUGAGGUAUUAAGAACGCAAUUUAACGAUCCACCGAAUGUACAAAUAGUCGCUAACGACCGUAAUCAUUGCAUGGACACUGGUGGAUGCGACAUUAAGUAAAGAAAUUAACAACGGCAAGUAGUUCGAAGAGUAGUAUAUUGGCUUGGCAACUAAGUGAUUGCGGAUAUUAUCAAUACCACCUAAUGACAAAAUCCGCAAUCACUUAGUUGGCAACCCAUUCGCCAGUGUUUUCACGCGACUGCAGGAAUUCGAUACCGUGAAAAUGAAAUGUAAAAGUCGAUGAACGAAAAAGCUACGCUUGGUUGAAAAACGAGCGUGUACGGGAAUAUUUUUUUUUUUUUGCUGCUACUGUGUGUGGUUAAGGGUUCGAUAUCUCCAGUGAUAGGAGCAGAUAUUGCGUGGAUCAACAUUUGUACUCGUCAAAAGUUAUGCUAUUUAUCUAUGGUUAUAAAUGAGCAUAUAUGCAACAGACAGGGAAAAAGGCAGCGAACUUUGCUAACUAAAUCACGAUAUCUCCAGACAGAAAUGAAUAACAUUGUGAAACAAGGGGUGUUCCGUGUUUUUGAUUUAUCCGUACAAAUGUGUGCAAACGAGACACACGGUAAGACAAAGUGUAAUCAACGCCAUGCAGAUAAAUCGUUUCGUUUCCGAGCCGUAGAAUGUAACGAGCUAUAGAAAUUGAUUAGUUCAAUUUCCGAAUAAAUUAUAUGCACGUUGCAAGACGCAUUAAUAUGUGGUCCUUUCAUUUUUAUCGUUUCUUUAGUUUUUCGGAAUUCCAGUGUAUUGGAUGAUCCUGUGAUUUCAUUCUUGGUAGAAUCAAUGAAGUUUCGAUUGGUAAAACGUGUUUUAGAGCGAAAGGGUUGAAAUAUUACCAGAGGAAGGUAAAUGGUACGGGAAACUUCGUUUCUCUAGGGUUAACGAAGAUCAAAGAACCGAGACGGAGGUGCAAAAAUAGUAGGCAGCGAGAAAAUCGAUGGUUGUGUAAUAAUAACGUGGACACCACGAUAUACUGUCCUAGCGAACCAUCGAUGUUUCUAAUUCAUAUUCUUCUACCUUGGUAUUCAUAGUAUUAUUCUUAUUAUUAGCAUUAAUGAUAUAGUAUAUUUAGUAUUCUAGUUCACUAGAAGCUCCAUUUGAAGUGGAAACGUUAAAACAUCGCGUUUCGAAGGUUUCAAAAUAUUCCAUCAUUCCCAAUACCGCUACUUCCAAUUAGUCCAUCGUGCUGCACGACGUCUAAUAAACGAAAUUGCACUAAAGCGCUAGCAACGUGCAGCUAUUGUUCUACCUCGAUAUGAACUAAGCCCUUAAUGAGCUAAAAACCUUAAAAGAGCCGGGUUCCGAACAUUUGAAAGUUAUCCCAUUAUUAUCAAACAUAUCGUCGUGCUACAUAACGUGGAUUAAAAAAAAAAAAUACAUGGGAACACGUAGGUAUCGUUGCACGUCGGUGCGAACCAAGCCUUCAACGAGCAAGAAAACCUCAAAAAAAAAAAAAAAAAAUAUUUCAAAAAAAUUGCCCCGUUAUCGCCAAUUGUUUCAUCGUGUUCCGAAACAGCGCCUGAUCAAACAAUUUUUUUACAAUAUAUAUAUUGUACACGAUAUAUAUGAUAUUGUAAGGCGGGGUAUUGUUUUAUUUAAAAAUAAAUGAAACGCUCGAUGGCUUAAAAGCCUUAAAAGAAUGAUAUUUCGAAGAUUUCAAGGUACUCCAUCAUUGCCAGUACUGUCACCUGCAAUCGUUCCAUCAUGCUGCACAACGCCUAAUAAAACAUCUGACACAGAGAUGCCAGAGCCAGGUGAAUAUUCGCGUCGUUCCACUUAAUCCUCGGCAGAAAAUCAAAGCAGCGUGCCCAGGCAAGAAGCGUAAUCUGUGUCUCGGCUUCCAUUUCCACGGAGGAGGUUACCUGGAAGAAGCACCGUGAGCGGUAGACGAAGUAAGCGGCAUAGGAGGAGCUAGUGUCGCGAACCAGUGAACAUACGCUAGACAGAGAGGAAACUCGACGCUGUAUAUUUGCUCUGCGCUCCGCUGCAGACCCGUUAAUGUGUUUAAGCCGAAUAUGGAUCGUGGAAAUUGGGUUCUGUCGCUUCUCCUGAAUCUUAGGCGACGGAUAAGGCAGAAGUGGCGCGCAAAAGAUGGAAAGAGAUACAGGGUGACCCGGAGUAAACGAGGAUCAUCCGAAUAUCUAUCUUAUUUAUGGUUGUAUGAAAGUCCUUCUCGCAGUACCAUGCCGCUGUAAAUCGUCGUAUAUUUUUAAUCCGUACAAUUUCUGGCGAUCUGUUUGCACUGCGUAGGGGCGCCAUAUAUUUUUUGUCAAAAA